rnacentral:misc_RNA from 1 species
GCUUAGUGUCAGAGAUUGCCUGGUGAAUAUAAUGUUGGACCAAAUCUGUGCAGGUGGUGACAAAAGAUUCAUAGUUAACAGGAUAUCCGUUUGUUCCUUCGGGAAGAUUGAAGGAAGAAUGAGUCAUUACAAGGAUAGUAUUAAACCAAAUUGCAGGACCAAAGACUUCCGUUAUAAGCUUCAACAAGGGGAAAUCACUGUAGCCCGUGUUGAUCAAAUCCAGGCGCUCAAAAUACAGGACCAUAUCAGGCGUUUGUUUCCUUAAAUAUCGUCUCACAGAAUGCAAUAUCUUCUUGUUUUUUCGGAUGUUACUGGGUGAGGGAGGCAAUAAACCAGGAGUGUCAAUAAACGAUACUCUGAUGCCAUUUACCGUUCCCACUAUCUCUUGAAUAUGGUCAGUAGCAGGCUUGAACGCGUUGGUUUCUGCUCUUGAUUGGUCAAAAAUGGAAUUUAUGGUUGAACUCUUGCCAACUCCAGUUCUACCCAGUACAAGGAUCUUAAAUGAGAAAUCCAGUUGUGGUCGGCCAGCAGCUUCUUGUUCUGCUGCUAUUACACGG